GUAUGUAAGUGAACUUCUUACUGGAAAAGAUGGAAACUUUUGAAUUUUAUAACGUAUUGGAAGAUGUGUCGCCUGAAAAAUUUUACUCCAGUCGAAUGAAGAGGGAGCGAAAUGAAAUGUGAGGUGUAUCUGUGAACUUUAUAAUGGACAUGUACAGCUUUUUGAUGCCCAGUGGUAACCAGCCUACCAUGUGGCUCAACAGAUGCCAGUGUACCUGAAUUCUGAGACACAAUUGGACAUUCUUUUCUUCUGCUUUUAAGAUUCCCAGUUUGGGAUGAUGUGCAGUUCAUGUUAGAUUUGCUAUUUCUACAGUUACAGUGAAGUAGAAGAGUCUGGCCGUGUUAUGGGGCAGCAGUUAAAGAAGGAAGGAGCGAUGUGUACCAUGUUGAAGUAGCAGCUGGCCUUCCUGCCUGGCACUUGUAGAAUCCUCCAUCUCAACCUCUGCUCAGAUCUGCUGUGCCUUUGCCAAGUGAUCACGAGGUAUUGGCCUUUUUGUUUUUUUUUUUUCUUCUGAAAACUGUCUCAGUCUCAUGACACUGGCUGCUGGCUGCCUGUCUCACGUAGAACUGAUUUCAAGGUUCUAUUAAAUAAUUAGAAAGCUUUGAGUAUUUUAGACCCUGCCUGUAUUUUGGAGUGUCUGCUAUCAACAUUUCUUUUCUGAAACAUUGCUUUGCUUUUUAUUCCAAGAUCAACCAUAAAAACUGGCAGCUUUCUGUACUGUGGAAUGCUUUGCCAAUAGAGAAGUGCCAGGCUACAAAUGUCAAGCAUUUCAAAAAACAUCAACAAGCCCAUUUUUCUAAUUUGGCUUUUUCUUAAUUACUUGCAUUGGUUGUAAUAGAUUAGAAAUGGUACUGUGUACACUUUGUAAGCUCUGCACUGGGCACUAACGUCUGCUGAUUUUCUCUGUUGUUUUUUUUCCACUUUAUUGCAAUGGUGCCCCCCUUCAUCUCCACCAUCUGUUAAAUCAACUCCAA